UUUCCGUAGGUGAACCUGCGGAAGGAUCAUUACCGAGUGAGGGCCCUCUGGGUCCAACCUCCCACCCGUGUUUAUUUACCUUGUUGCUUCGGCGAGCCUGCCUUUUGGCUGCCGGGGGACGUCAGUCCCCGGGUCCGUGCUCGCCGGAGACACCUUAGAACUCUGUCUGAAGAUUGUAGUCCGAGAUUAAAUAUAAAUUAUUUAAAACUUUCAACAACGGAUCUCUUGGUUCCG
rnacentral:misc_RNA from 1 species